rnacentral:rRNA from 1 species
UUCCGGUUGAUCCUGCCGGAGGCUACCGCUAUUGGAGUUCGAUUAAGCCAUGCGAGUCGCGAGUCUUAGGGACUCGGCGUACCGCUCAGUAACACGUGGGUAACCUGCCCUAUGCUGGGGAAUAACCUCGGGAAACUGAGAAUAAUGCCCCAUAGUUCACCACGCCUGGAACGGUGGAUGGAUGAAAGCUCCGGCGGCAUAGGAUGGGCCUGCGGCGUAUCAGGUCGUAGGGGGUGUAAUGUACCCUCUAGCCAUCGACGCGUACGGGUGUUGGGAGACAUUGCCCGGAGAUGGAUUCUGAGACACGAAUCCAGACCCUACGGGGUGCAGCAGGCGCGAAAACUUGGCAAUGCGAGAAAUCGUGACCAGGGAACUCCAAGUGCAUCGGGUAAGACCGAUGCUUUUCUUGACUCUUCAAAGGUCUUGGAAUAAGGGGUGGGUAAGGACGGUGCCAGCCGCCGCGGUAAUACCGGCGCCUCAAGUGGUAGUCGCUUUUAUUGGGCCUAAAACGUCCGUAGCCGGUUUGGUACAUUCGUGGGUAAAUCAAGGCGCUCAACGUCUUGAAUUCUGCGAGCACGGCCAGACUUGGGACCGGGUGAGGUGUGGGGUACUCUCAGGGUAGGGGUAAAAUCCUGUCAUCCUGAGAGGACCACCUGUUGCGAAGGCGCCACACUAGAACGGAUCCGACGGUCAGGGACGAAGCCUAGGGGCACGAACCGGAUUAGAUACCCGGGUAGUCCUAGGUGUAAACGCUGUGGACUUGAUGUUGGGAGUGCUCCGAGCACCCUCAGUGUCGAAGCGAAGGUGAUAAGUCCACUGCCUGGGGAGUACGGUCGCAAGGCUGAAACUUAAAGGAAUUGGCGGGGGAGCACUGCAACCUGAGGAUUGUGCGGUUUAAUUGGAUUCAACGCCGGA